rnacentral:rRNA from 1 species
UACGAAGGGUGCAAGCGUUACUCGGAAUUACUGGGCGUAAAGCGUGCGUAGGUGGUUUGUUAAGUCUGAUGUGAAAGCCCUGGGCUCAACCUGGGAACGGCAUUGGAAACUGGCUUACUAGAGUGCGGUAGAGGGGUGUGGAAUUCCCGGUGUAGCAGUGAAAUGCGUAGAUAUCGGGAGGAACACCAGUGGCGAAGGCGAGUCUCUGGACAAUUCCUGACGCUGAGGCACGAAAGCUAGGGGAGCAAACAGG